UCACUCCACCCUAGUCAAUCCAUGGGCAGAUGUGGUUGCUACUACGGAACAUGAGGAAGGGAUUGUAUAUGCUGAUUUGGACUUGGAUUACGUGCAGAAAGUCCGCCAGAUGGUUCCCCUGGGUUCCCAAAGGAGGGGCGAUAUGUACGAAGUUGUAACCAAGAAGUAACUGCUCUUCAAUUUAAAAGGAAUGAAUGCUAUAUAAUGUCUUUUACUAAUCCAGUGCUCAAUGCAAUGAUUAUUUUUUCAUUUUGACAUUUAUAUAGAGAUACAAUGCUGAAUAACUGCUUUGUAUAUACAUGCUAUAAAAGAUAUAUUUUUUGACAGUUAUUUAGAUAUCAAUGCAAUAAAAUUAUAUAAUAAAAGGAAGUUAGCAUUGAAAAUAGCUGAUUUAAAACUCCAGUAGCAUUUCAGACAACAAAGCUUCACUAAUAAUAUAUUCCAAGAUAUUUUUUGUUUAAUUUACCAACCAGAUAAGUGCAAAAUAAAAAGGAUAUAUGGUGCUAUGUUCAAGUUCAGAUAUGAGUUACAGGUUUAACAGUUUCAUGAUAACAUCCAAAAAGAAAUAAAAACAUAAUAUCCUUCAA